UUAUAAGCAGAACAAAAAGUUGAAGGUAAAGAAAAAUUGUAUGAAUAGAAUGCUUGUACUAUUCUGAGGAGCUUAUGCCAAGAUCAUUGACCUUAGUGAUCUGUGAUUGUGACUUUUAUGUUCACUUUCAAAAAUGUUCUUUUUGUUAUCAAUGGCUUCAAUUGAAAUGAAUCUGUGUCCCUUUAGUUGAGAAUGUUAAAUUUAAAUAAAUUUGAAU